rnacentral:rRNA from 1 species
GAUGAACGCUGGCGGCGUGCCUAACACAUGCAAGUCGAACGAAGCUUGACGGAUGAUUUCUUCGGAAUGAAACCAGAUAUGACUUAGUGGCGGACGGGUGAGUAACACGUGAGCAACCUGCCUUUCAGAGGGGGAUAACGGCUGGAAACGGUCGCUAAUACCGCAUGAUGUGUUCGGAUGGCAUCAUCUGAACAUCAAAGAUUUAUCGCUGAAAGAUGGGCUCGCGUCUGAUUAGAUAGUUGGUGGGGUAACGGCCUACCAAGUCUACGAUCAGUAGCCGGACUGAGAGGUUGAACGGCCACAUUGGGACUGAGAUACGGCCCAGACUCCUACGGGAGGCAGCAGUGGGGAAUAUUGCACAAUGGGGAAAACCCUGAUGCAGCAACGCCGCGUGAAGGAUGACGGUUUUCGGAUUGUAAACUUCUUUUCUUAGUGACGAAGACAGUGACGGUAGCUAAGGAAUAAGCAUCGGCUAACUACGUG